CUCCUACGGGAGGCAGCAGGUAAGGAAUAGUUGGUCAAGUCGGGACGGAAGUCUACGAACCAGCCAUCGCCGCGUGCGAAGGAAGGACCGGACCCGUUACGGGUUAGUAAACUGUCUUUUGCGAGGGAACUAAACCCGGUAUGUAGUACCGGGUUAGAAUGUACUCUGAGAUAAGGAUCGGCUAACUCCGUGCCAGCCGCCGCGGUAAUACC
rnacentral:rRNA from 1 species